rnacentral:rRNA from 1 species
GAUGAACGCUGGCGGCGUGCUUAACACAUGCAAGUCGAACGGAAAGGCCAGUGCUUGCACUGGUGCUCGAGUGGCGAACGGGUGAGUAACACGUGGGUGAUCUGCCCUGCACUUUGGGAUAAGCCUGGGAAACUGGGUCUAAUACCAGAUAGGACCAUGCUUUGGAUGGUGUGGUGGAAAGUUUUUUCGGUGUGGGAUGAGCUUGCGGCCUAUCAGCUUGUUGGUGGGGUAAUGGCCUACCAAGGCGUCGACGGGUAGCCGGCCUGAGAGGGUGUACGGCCACAUUGGGACUGAGAUACGGCCCAGACUCCUACGGGAGGCAGCAGUGGGGAAUAUUGCACAAUGGGCGCAAGCCGGAUGCAGCGACGCCGCGUGGGGGAUGACGGCCUUCGGGUUGUAAACUCCUUUCGCAACUGACGAAGCUUUUUGUGACGGUAGGUUGAGAAGAAGCACCGGCUAACUACGUG